GACGAACGCUGGCGGCGUGCUUAACACAUGCAAGUCGAACGGAAAGGCCCUGCUUUUGUGGGGUGCUCGAGUGGCGAACGGGUGAGUAACACGUGAGUAACCUGCCCUUGACUUUGGGAUAACUUCAGGAAACUGGGGCUAAUACCUGAUAGGAGCUCCUGCUGCAUGGUGGGGGUUGGAAAGUUUCGGCGGUUGGGGAUGGACUCGCGGCUUAUCAGCUUGUUGGUGGGGUAGUGGCUUACCAAGGCUUUGACGGGUAGCCGGCCUGAGAGGGUGACCGGCCACAUUGGGACUGAGAGACGGCCCAGACUCCUACGGGAGGCAGCAGUGGGGAAUAUUGCACAAUGGGCGGAAGCCUGAUGAAGAAACGCCGCGUGCGGGAUGACGGCCUUCGGGUUGUAAACCGCUUUCGCCUGUGACGAAGCGUGAGUGACGGUAAUGGGUAAAGAAGCACCGGCUAACUACGUG
rnacentral:rRNA from 1 species